rnacentral:rRNA from 1 species
GUAUGGUGCAAGCGUUAUCCGGAUUUACUGGGUGUAAAGGGAGCGUAGACGGAUAGGCAAGUCUGAAGUGAAAGCCCGGGGCUCAACCCCGGGACUGCUUUGGAAACUGUUUAUCUAGAGUGCUGGAGAGGUAAGUGGAAUUCCUAGUGUAGCGGUGAAAUGCGUAGAUAUUAGGAGGAACACCAGUGGCGAAGGCGGCUUACUGGACAGUAACUGACGUUGAGGCUCGAAAGCGUGGGGAGCAAACAGGAUUAGACACCCUGGUAGUCCACGCCGUAAACGAUGACUGCUAGGUGUCGGGUGGCAAAGCCAUUCGGUGCCGCAGCUAACGCAAUAAGCAGUCCACCUGGGGAGUACGUUCGCAAGAAUG